UACAGAGGGGGCAAGCGUUGUUCGGAAUUACUGGGCGUAAAGGGCGCGUAGGCGGCCUGCUAAGUCGAACGUGAAAUCCCCGAGCUCAACUCGGGAACUGCGUCCGAUACUGGCAGGCUUGAAUCCGGGAGAGGGAUGCGGAAUUCCAGGUGUAGCGGUGAAAUGCGUAGAUAUCUGGAGGAACACCGGUGGCGAAGGCGGCAUCCUGGACCGGCAUUGACGCUGAGUGAGCGAAAGCCAGGGGAGCAAACGGG
rnacentral:rRNA from 1 species